GACGAACGCUGGCGGCGUGCUUAACACAUGCAAGUCGAGCGAGGCUCCUUCCUUCGGGAGGGAUGCCCUAGCGGCGAACGGGUGAGUAACACGUGGGCGAACCUCGCCUCUAGCACUGGGAGUAACUCCGGGAAACCGGGGCGUAAUACCGGAUACGACCUCUGAGGGCAUCCUCCGGAGGUGGAAAGCAUUGUGGCUAGAGAUGGGCCCGCGGCCUAUCAGCUUGUUGGUGGGGUAANGGCCUACCAAGGCAACGAUGGGUAGCUGGUCUGAGAGGACGAUCAGCCACACUGGAACUGAGACACGGUUCAGGACUCCUACGGGAGGCAGCAGUGGGGAAUAUUGGACAAUGGGCGCAA
rnacentral:rRNA from 1 species